rnacentral:lncRNA from 1 species
CACGACCUUCAUUCAUAAGGAGCAUUCUUUGGGCAGAUAGAAGCCAAGAAGGCCCCAUGCCCAUUGCGUUUACCGAAUUCGAGAGCCCGAGCAUGCUAAGUCGUGGACCAAGCCAUCGCAAGGCGAAGCCAGGACGACCUGGGACACAACUGCAACUUUUGGUUCACCCAAAGCAUGCUAAGUUGUGCACCAAGCCAUCGCAGGGCGAAGCUAGGACGACCUGGGAAACAAUUGCAGCUUUUGGUUCACCCCGCACGUCUAACGCGAGGGGCGAAAGGCGACCGAUUGUGCUUGAUAAUGCCUUGGCAUUAGGUAUGCAACACAGAAAAUCGACGUCGAACAAGCGUAAUUUGCGCUUGUGACAUGACUGAGAUGGAAUGAGAGCUAGGACGUCGCUGCUCGAGCGGGGAUCCAACCUAGCCACACAAGCCGAAUACCACUCAUGUGCCGCACGUACACUUGCCUCGCCGAUACAAAGCCAACACCAGCCCAACACGUGACGUACAGCCAUGUGUUAUUGCCGAUGCCAACAUUGCAAAGCCAAGACAAGCCCCGCAAAGAACGAAUAGGGGGUUUGAACAAUGCCAGACACAACCCACAACAACCGAUGGCAAUCGGCAACUUACUAAGCUUUGCCUCGUGCGCACGGCACCUUGCGGCACUACUUGCAUGAUGCUUUGCCAUUUUGUUACCAAAAGCCAUCAGCCGCACGAGCCAUCGCCUCCCGAUGUUGCCCGCAACAACCGAUGGCAAUCGGCAACAUACUAAGCUUCGCCUCGUGCGCACGGCACCUUGCGGCGCUACUUGCACGAUGCUUUGCUAUUUUGUUACCAAAAGCCAUUAGCCUCCAUGAGCGAUGACGCCUCCCGAUGUUGCCCGCAACAACCGAUAGCAAUCAGCAACUUACUAUGCUUCGCCCCAUGCGCACGGCACCUUGCAGCGCUACUUGCACGAUGUCUUGCCAUUUUGUUGCCAAAAGCCAUCAGCUGCCACGAGCAAUGUCGCCUCCCGAUAUUUCCCGCAACAACCGGUGGCAAUAAACAUCUACUGAGCUUCGCCCCGUGCGCACGGCACCUUGCGGCGCUACUUGCACGAGGGUCUGCCGUUCUUUGUCGAAAUCCAUCAUCCGCCACGAGAGAUUCCAGACACAACCCACCACAACCGAUGGCAAUCAACAACUUACUAAGCUUUGCCCCAAGCGCACGGCACCUUGCGGCGCUACUUGCAUGAUGCUUUUCCGUUCUGUUGUCAAAAGCCAUCAGCCGCCACGAGCGAUGUCGCCUCCCGAUUUUGCCCGCAACAUCCAAUGGCGAUCAACAAUUACUAAGCUUCGCCCUGCACGAUGCUUUGCCAUUUGUUGCCAAAAGCCAUCAACAGCCAUGAGCGAUGUCGCCUCCCAAUGUUUCCCGCAACAAUUGAUGGAAAUGAACAUGUACUAAGCUUUGCCCAGUGCGCACGGCACCUUGCGGCGCUACUUGCAUGACGCUCCACCGUUCCUUCUCAAAAGCCAUCAGCCGCCACGAGAGAUUCCAGACAACCGAUGGCAAUCGACAUCUACUGAGCUUCGCCCCAUGCGCAUGACACCUUGCGCCGCUACUUGCACGUGGCUCUGCCGUUCUUUCUCGGAAGCCAUCAUCCGCCCCGAGAGAUUCAAGACACAACCCACAACAACCGAUUGCAAUCAAAAACUUACUAAGCUUCGCCCCAUGCGCACGGCACCUUGCGGCGCUACUUGCACGACGCUUUGCCGUUCUGUUGUCAAAAACCAUCAGCCGCCACGAGCGAUGUCGCGUCCCGAUUUUGCCCGCAACAUCCAAUGGCGAUCAACAAUUACUAAGCUUCGCCCCAUGCGCACGGCACCUUGCGGUGCUGAUUUUGCCCGCAACAUCGAAUGGCGAUAAACAAGUACUAAGCUUCGCCCCAUGCGCACGGUACCUUGCGACGCUUCUUGCAUGACGCUCCACCAUUCAUUGCUAAAAGCUAAUGUUUGCCACGAGCGGUGCCACCACCAGGCUUACUACGAGCCCACACGAGUACUUACCGUCACGACUUGGGAACAUCGAGGACGUAGCACGGACAAGCCGUGCAUGCCCCCAAUGCCCACGCCCCAUUUCAGGAGUAGACAUGUUUUGUCCAAAGAAUCAUAAUAGACAUGUACAACACCAAAUAGCACAAACCAAAGUACAACUUGGCUAAUAUAUUCACAAAUGACUUUUAAACAUUGUAAAUUAUAUUUUUUACAAAAAAAAAAUAUUUUUUUUAAAAUGUUUUUAUUUAAAAACGAAAAAUACUUAAUAAAAUACAAAAAAAAAUGAUAUAAUAUUUUUUUGAAAUAUUUUUAUUUAAAAAUGAAAAAUACUUAAUAAAAUACAAAAAAUAUGAAAAUUAUUAUAAAAAUAGAAACAAUAAUGGAGAAAAACUCCAAUGUAACUUGCAAUAGAAUAACAUAUAAAAUAGUAAAAAAUUUUAUUAAAAAGUGACAUAAAAAUAAUUUAAAAUA